GAUGAACCUCUUCGGAGGGGAUUAGUGGCGAACGGGUGAGUAACACGUGGGCAAUCUGCCCUGCACUCUGGGACAAGCCCUGGAAACGGGGUCUAAUACCGGAUACGACCAUCUCGGGCAUCCGAUGGUGGUGGAAAGCUCCGGCGGUGCAGGAUGAGCCCGCGGCCUAUCAGCUUGUUGGUGGGGUGAUGGCCUACCAAGGCGACGACGGGUAGCCGGCCUGAGAGGGCGACCGGCCACACUGGGACUGAGACACGGCCCAGACUCCUACGGGAGGCAGCAGUGGGGAAUAUUGCACAAUGGGCGGAAGCCUGAUGCAGCGACGCCGCGUGAGGGAUGACGGCCUUCGGGUUGUAAACCUCUUUCAGCAGGGAAGAAGCGCAAGUGACGGUACCUGCAGAAGAAGCACCGGCUAACUACGUGCCAGCAGCCGCGGUAAUACGUAGGGUGCGAGCGUUGUCCGGAAUUAUUGGGCGUAAAGAGCUCGUAGGCGGCUUGUCGCGUCGGAUGUGAAAGCCCGGGGCUUAACCCCGGGUCUGCAUUCGAUACGGGCAGGCUAGAGUUCGGUAGGGGAGAUCGGAAUUCCUGGUGUAGCGGUGAAAUGCGCAGAUAUCAGGAGGAACACCGGUGGCGAAGGCGGAUCUCUGGGCCGAUACUGACGCUGAGGAGCGAAAGCGUGGGGAGCGAACAGGAUUAGAUACCCUGGUAGUCCACGCCGUA
rnacentral:rRNA from 1 species